rnacentral:lncRNA from 1 species
UCCCGGGCUGCUCUGCUAGUAUUUAGUGGGUCCUAGUGCUGUGUAGGGCCCUUUUCUCAGGCAAAAUUCUAACAUCUGACCGCACCCUCCUCUCUUUGCUAUUUAAAAAAAGAAAGAAAGAAAGAAAGAAAGAAAGAAAGAAAGAAAGAAAGAAAGAAAGAAAGAAAGAAAGAAAGAAAGAAAGAAAGAAAGAAAGAAAGAGGGGAAAGAAAGGGAGGGAUAAAGAGGAAAAAAUAGCUGUGCUCCUGCUUCUUUCGUUCUAAGAUAAAUUCUCCCGGAGACAACCUCUCCCACUAAUUGUGUGUUAGCCAUGAAUUUUAUCUCAAGAGCUGACGCACUGCGCUCUCAACUGGUGUUGAAAAGCAGCCUGUUACAGUGUGGGAUUCAUAAAAGGGCCUCUAUGGUGUGUGAGAAAGAAUAUCUGUGUGCCUAGGCAGGAAACUUUUUGAUCUACAGAAAAGCCAGAAGACAUCUAGGUAAGACUUCGGGAUCAGACCUGCUUUGGUGGGUGGGGGUGGGGGUGGGGGGGUGUCCAAGUUUGUCAGUGAAAUUGGCCCAUACAAGAGAUGCAAGUUUACAGGGUGUGUGUGCUUCCUUCUGUGGAAGUUGAAAUGUACCGAAGAUUGCUUACUUAUUUUUGUUCGCUUAUUGAAAACUUGAAUCAGGAGUCUGUAGUCGGUCUUUCGACGUUUUCGUUUUCUGUGAUUGAACUGAUCGCAAUAGAUAUUGUUUGAUCCCCAGAGAAAUCUUUGCAAAGUGACACAGAAAGAAAAACAUUCCGGGCGAAGAAAAUAGACAAGUUUUAAAGAGGAAUUGUUUGAACCUUAGAGGGCAGGAGAUGGUGCAUUCGGCAAACGUGGGUCUGAGUACUGAAAAAA